GAUGAACGCUGGCGGCGUGCCUAACACAUGCAAGUCGAGCGAGAAUUUAUCGACGGAUCCCUUCGGGGUGAAGAUGAUGAAGGAAAGCGGCGGACGGGUGAGUAACGCGUGAGUAACCUGCCUUUAAGAGGGGACAACAGUUGGAAACGACUGCUAAUACCGCAUAAUAUUACAGAGUCGCAUGGCUAUGUAAUCAAAGAUUUAUCGCUUAAAGAUGGACUCGCGUCUGAUUAGAUAGUUGGUGAGGUAACGGCUCACCAAGUCGACGAUCAGUAGCCGAACUGAGAGGUUGAUCGGCCACAUUGGGACUGAGACACGGCCCAGACUCCUACGGGAGGCAGCAGUGGGGAAUAUUGCGCAAUGGGGGGAACCCUGACGCAGCAACGCCGUCGUGCAGGAAGAAGGUCUUCGGAUUGUAAACUUCUUUACUGAGACGAAAUAAUGACGGUACUCAGAGAAUAAGCCACGGCUAACUACGUGCCAGCA
rnacentral:rRNA from 1 species